UACGGAGGGGGCUAGCGUUGUUCGGAAUCAUUGGGCGUAAAGGGCGCGUAGGCGGCCGAUCAAGUCGGAGGUGAAAUCCCUCGGCUCAACUGAGGAACUGCCUUCGAUACUGUUCGGCUUGAGUCCUGGAGAGGGUAGCGGAAUUCCCGGUGUAGCGGUGAAAUGCGUAGAGACCGGGAAGAACACCAGUGGCGAAGGCGGGUCUCUGGACAGUUCCUGACACUGAGGCACGAAGGCCAGGGGAGCAAACGGG
rnacentral:rRNA from 1 species